rnacentral:rRNA from 1 species
GAUGAACGCUGGCGGCGUGCCUAAUACAUGCAAGUCGAGCGAACAGACGAGGAGCUUGCUCCUCUGACGUUAGCGGCGGACGGGUGAGUAACACGUGGAUAACCUACCUAUAAGACUGGGAUAACUUCGGGAAACCGGAGCUAAUACCGGAUAAUAUAUUGAACCGCAUGGUUCAAUAGUGAAAGACGGUUUUGCUGUCACUUAUAGAUGGAUCCGCGCCGCAUUAGCUAGUUGUUAAGGUAACGGCUUACCCAGGCAACGAUGCGUAGCCGACCUGAUGGGGUGAUCGGCCACACUGGAACUGAGACACGGUCCAGACUCCUACGGGAGGCAGCAGUAGGGAAUCUUCCGCAAUGGGCGAAAGCCUGACGGAGCAACGCCGCGUGAGUGAUGAAGGUCUUCGGAUCGUAAAACUCUGUUAUUAGGGAAGAACAAAUGUGUAAGUAACUAUGCACGUCUUGACGGUACCUAAUCAGAAAGCCACGGCUAACUACGUG